AGUGAACGCUGGCGGUAGGCCUAACACAUGCAAGUCGAACGGCAGCACAGUAAGAGCUUGCUCUUACGGGUGGCGAGUGGUGGACGGGUGAGGAAUACAUCGGAAUCUACUUUUUCGUGGGGGUUAACGUAGGGAAACUUACGCUAAUACCGCAUACGACCUACGGGUGAAAGCAGGGGACCUUCGGACCUUGCGCGAUUGAAUGAGCCGAUGUCGGAUUAGCUGGUUGGCGGGGUAAAGGCCCACCAAGGCGACGAUCCGUAGCUGGUCUGAGAGGAUGAUCAGCCACACUGGAACUGAGACACGGUCCAGACUCCUACGGGAGGCAGCAGUGGGGAAUAUUGGACAAUGGGCGCAAGCCUGAUCCAGCCAUACCGCGUGGGUGAAGAAGGCCUUCGGGUUGUAAAGCCCUUUUGUUGGGAAAGAAAAGCAGCAGGUUAAUACCCCGCUGCUCUGACGGUACCCAAAGAAUAAGCACCGGCUAACUUCGUG
rnacentral:rRNA from 1 species